rnacentral:rRNA from 1 species
GUCUGUGGAUUGUAAACCCCUUUUCUCAGGGAAGAAGUUCUGACGGUACCCGAGGAAUCAGCAUCGGCUAACUCCGUGCCAGCAGCCGCGGUAAGACGGAGGAUGCAAGCGUUAUCCGGAAUUAUUGGGCGUAAAGCGUCCGUAGGCGGUUUAUCAAGUCUGUCGUUAAAGACUGCAGCUUAACUGUGGGCGAGCGGUGGAAACUGAUUAACUAGAGUGUGGUAGGGGUAGAGGGAAUUCCCAGUGUAGCGGUGAAAUGCGUAGAUAUUGGGAAGAACACCAGUGGCGAAGGCGCUCUACUGGGCCACAACUGA